GGUCAUUUAGCUCAGUGGAAGAGCGUCUGUUUAACAUGUACCCUCAGAGGGUAUGUAUAGACAUAGAUGGUCGUAGGUUGGAACCCUGUAGCGACCA
rfam:Coniochaeta ligniaria NRRL 30616 unplaced genomic scaffold CONLIGscaffold_37, whole genome shotgun sequence.